rnacentral:lncRNA from 1 species
AGUGAACGCCUCCGCAUGGACUCACGAGUUCACCUCCUUCCGGUCUAAACAGUGAACGCCUCCGCAUCGACUCACGGGUUCACCUCCUUCCGGUCUGAACAGUGAACUCCUCCGCAUGGACUCACGGGUUCACCUCCUUCCGGUCUGAACAGUGAACGCCUCCGCAUCGACUCACGGGUUCACCUCCUUCCGGUCUGAACAGUGAACUCCUCCGCAUGGACUCACGGGUUCACCUCCUUCCGGUCUGAACAGUGAACUCCUCCGCAUCGACUCACGGGUUCACCUCCUUCCGGUCUGAACAGUGAACUCCUCCGCAUGGACUCACGGGUUCACCUCCUUCCGGUCUGAACAGUGAACUCCGCAUCGACUCACGCGUUCACCUCCUUCCGGUCUAAAUGGUAAACUCCUCUGCAUUAAAGGAAACACUGGUUCUGUAAACCUGUUUGAGAAGAAAAGCUCGAGGUUUCUUGGCCUCUCUGCUUCUGGAGCCAGGGGAAAAAAUAGCCCCAGGCUGAAGACAGGAGGGACCAGAUUGCUGCUUGGUGAUGCGAUCUCACUGCAGAGGCAGCCAGGAGACCCUCCUGAGACGAAUCGGAGAGUCCAUGCUGCUUUUACACACAUCCUAGUUCUUUUAUAACUAGCCUUUUCCUAUUAACGGACAUCAUUCAAAAGCCAGUUUUAAGCAACAUAAAUAUUGAAAACAAUACUAUACUAUUUAGAAUUAAUUAUAAGUUUUGUUUUUAAAGCCUAAAUCUUUUAUUGUUGUUUGAACCCUGGGCACUGAAGCUAAUAAUGUAACUUUUCUCCCUUCUUUCUUCUUUGGCAUAGAUUUAAAGAACUGUUAGACUCAUUUAAAAUGCUAUUAGGCAUUUUAAAGAGUAAUUGUUAAAUGUGUUGUCUCUUGUGGGACUGGAAAUGUUCUGUUCUUAUCUGGCGCUGGUUACAUCCUGUUUUUCAUUUGGGAAAGUGCAUUGAGCUGGAAAUUUAUAUGUUCAAUUUCUGUAUGUAAAUUGUACUUCAGUAAAAAUUUUCAAAAAA